rnacentral:tRNA from 1 species
GGUGGCUCAGUGGUAGAGUGCUUGUCUUGCAUGCAUGACGCCCUGGGUUCCAAUCCUCAGCACCA